UUUUUUUUUAUGGUUGUUGCUCCAAACAAUUCUAUUUUUAUUCCAUCAAUGACCUUAGGGUCCGGUAAAGUUAGCACAGACCGUAAAGUAAGAAAAAAUGACAUCGUCAUCUCUCGGUUGGUCAAAACAAUCCACGGAUGGACAAUUUAAAAUAAAUCGGUACAUAUAUUAGAAUGAUGAUGAAAUCAUUUCAAAUAAUCAUUAAUUAAAAAAAACUUGAUUAGAAUUGGCUUACUGCUUCCUUGGGUGGGGGUUGAAAAGAUCAAGAAAUUUUGCAUUUCUAUCGGUUUUGGCCGACAACCAUCUCAGGAUUCUUGGACAGGAAACUUCUUCCUAGUAGUUCACUUGUUAUCUCAAAUAAGGAAUAGCUUCAAAUGCCCAAGCAUAUAACAUAACGCCAAUAAAUGAAAAGCAUUAUUGAAUAAAAAAUGAUGAAUCAUAUCAUGAUAAAAUAAAUAUUUACCAUGAAGGCCCAUGGAAAGCCAUAUAAGUUGACUGUCUUUGGCGUUAAUGGAGUCAACAAAUAUUGGACAGUCAUUUUGAAGCUUUCAUAACCCCAAGGAUAGCUGUUAAAUGCCUCAAAAUCCUCGAAGAGAUUUAUUAAACCAACGUUUAUGUUGUCGUUAAUGUCUCUCGCCCAAAGAAUAUUAUGUACAAACCAAACCAAGCACAAUGAUUGCUUGUUCUUCUUUGAGAGUCCUUUACCUUUCAAUGCUUCUAUCAAAUUUUUGUUUUUGAAUCUUGGACCAACAAUCGACACUAGAUCAUCACGAUCACUCAAUUUUUCUUUGCCUUUUUUGGGUGUGCGGAGUGUUUUUUUCGAGUCAGAGUAGGUAUAACUUGAGAAGGAGAAGGAGGAUAACAUUUUAGUCCGGUAACUAUGGCAAACUCCUUCCAAUCAAAACAAACAGGCAUGCCAUAAUAAUUUAUCCAUACCUCAUCCAUCUUGUCUUUGUUUUCAUACAUAAACCUACGCUUGAGAAGAUCAUAUACCAUUUUUAUCUGGAAAAGAGCAUUGUUGUCCUUCGGCAAAUCAGGAUAUUUCCCAAAGUAGCUUUCUCUGAAAUAAGCAUCCAAUUUUUGUUCUCAAAGUAUUUUUCUAAAGGCGUCGAAAGAUUUUCCCAUGGCUGAAUUAAUCACAAAAUCACCUGUGGCACCAUCGCACUGUAUUCUCACAGGAUAGCAAUCAAUGCUAAAGGUUUUGACCAACUCUUCCGCGGAAGGGCUAUUAGCAUUUGUAUCAUCUCUUUUGAGACAUUCCUCUUCCCCGUGUUCAUUAUCUUCUAUUCCUAAUUGAGAUAAUGCUUGUAAAGCAAGCUUAUAGAGUGGUGGAUGUAGCCGAGCUUCUGGAUUUGUUCGUUUACUUGGACUUGAUUCGAUUUCUUUUCUUUUGGGAGCCAUAUUAUCUUAAAUUAUUAGAAACAUAAAAUAGAUUAUAAUUGAUUAAUGCAUCAUUAAAAAGGGAUAACAGUAAAUCUAACAUACACAAUGGUAAGGUAAAAUAGCAGUUCCAACAGAUCACACAUCUGUUGCACUAGGUAUGUUAUCUGUUGCAACAUAUAAUCGAUCUAUUGCAAUGGAUGUGUAAACCAUUGAAAAUAAUAAAAAAGAUCUCUAAUCUAUUGCACUAGGUAGUUUAUCUAUUGCAACAUAUAACUAACCUGUUGCAAGGAUGAGUAAUCCAUUGGAAACAGUAAAAAUAGAUCAUUAAUUUGUUGCACCAGGCAGUUUAUCUAUUGUGAUAUAUAACCAACCUAUUGUAACGGAUGAGUAAUUCGUUGGAAACAGUAAAAACAGAUCACACAUUGGUUGCACCAGGUAUGUUAUCUGUUGCAAUAUAUAACUAACCUAUUGCAACGGAUGAGUAAACCGUUGGAAACAAUAAAAAUAAAUCACUAAUCUAUUGCACCAGGUAGUUAUCUGUUUCAACAUAUAACCAACCUGUUGUAAUGGAUGAGUAAUCUGUUGGAAACCAUAAAAACAGAUCACUAAUUUCUUCAACCAAGUAUGUUAUCUAUCGCAACAGAUAACUGGCCUAUUGCGAUGGAUGAGUAAACCAUUGGAAACAUUAUAAAAUAAAUCACUGAUCUGUUGAAACAUAUCACUCAUCUGUUGCAAAAUGAGUUAUCUGUUGGACCAAUAUUGUUUAGAUUUCUUCCAAACAGAAGAGUUGUCUAUCACAACAGAUGAAUGAUAUGUUAGAUUGUUCAUCUGUUGCAUCAAAUUUUCAUUAUUGCAUUAGAUAUUUUCAUCUGCUGCAUCAGAUGUUUCAUAUGUUGCAACACCAUUUUUACCAAGACAAACAACAAAUCAAUCUAGCAACACCAACACAUCAUACACACAUACACACAUUAAGAAGAAGAAAUAUCAGAAAUUGGGGUUUUAUUCAGUCCACAUUUCAAUACUAGAAGAGUAGUUGGCUCAAGUUUCUCUGUUUCUUCAUAAUUUUUUACCUGUGAAAAAAAUGAGAUGAUGAAGAAAAAAAAAUGAGAUGAUGAAGAACUCAAAGUUGUUGUCGUCGAAGAAGUCUUCACGUCUAUUGACGGUUGAAAGUCAAAAGAAAACUUGCCCUACUAUUUUUCACCGGAGGUUGAAGUCGUCGGGGAUUGAAGGAAGAAUUUUGCAGAACUGUUGGUUGGAAGAGAGUUGAGAGAGGUUGUUGAGAGAGAGAGAGAGAGAGAGGAGAGAGACUGGUUGAUUUAGAUUGAAGAGGGGUGUGGGUUGAUUUGUAUUUUUGAAAAGAUUAGAAAGUUUUAAAAAAAUAUUAAUCAAGUCCAUCAUUAACUUAAUCAAGUUUCCUAAUAAUGUUUGACCCUUUAAGUUGGUCAAUGUCAUCAAUCCUUCAUUCAAGACUUAAAAGACACCUUUCCUUCAAUUUUCUCAAGUAACUUAAAGUAGUCAUAUUCCGAAAUUAUUUAUCAAGUUUUGCCAAACAUUGAAGGUAAGAUAAUUGAUAUUUUGCUGCAUCCUUUUUCUCAAAUAAUUUAUCUUAUCACAGGACAUAAUUUAUAAUAAAAUAUGAAAACUCAUUAGACAAGAUAAUGCCUACUCACUAAAUCUUUUCAGUCAUGGUUGAAACAAUUGGUUUAAUUUUCAAAAGAAAGUUAGUCCAACUAUAAAGGAGACUUCCAAGAAAACAACGAAAUCAAUCACUAAUUAAGCUUCAUAUCAUUCAAUUAAACAAAUACAGGGACAUAUUCUUAGGAAUACAAAUCUUGUAAGAAUUUAUCAAGUUCUGGAAUACUAAACUAUGAUCCAUACUCAAGCUUGUAGACUAAACACAUAAACAAACCUUGUUAUUUUUAUUUCAACAGGAACACCAGUUUAUACACAGACAAAGAAAGAUCAAAAUUUACAGGUACUCAAAUAGAUAGGCAAACCAACAUGCUUCACUUAUUAACCCAAAAAUAUGUGUGAAAAAUAUGUCACAUGCUUUUACACACAUGAUAAACUUAGCACCAUCGAAAGGAUAUAAUAUGUCUAAACACAUAGUCAAACACUGAAGUAGCCGUUAUUUAUAAGGAGAAAGCAAUGGCUUCAUGUCUAGGCAUAAAUGAAAAAUAAAUUUCUUUAACUACUAGGAGGAAACUGCAUUUCUAUUUUUUUUCUAAAAAAGAAAAUCUCUUGGGAAACAAGAUUCUUACUAAUGGUUUCAGUAAAAGAACUAAAGAGUGUAACAUUCUGAUUUAAAGUUUCCUAAAAAUACUCUACACAAGGAUGAUAACAUUAAUACUCCACAGAACACAUGUACUCAUCCUUUCCUUUCUCUAACCCUCUUUUCUUUAAAGAAACUAUGAAGGUUCAAGCUAAUCUUGAUUCACACAUAAUAAUCUGUCAAGAAUCUUAUAUCCAGACCAAAUCAAAAGCCAAGUAAUUAGGAUGACGAGAAAGGAAAUGCUAACUAAAUUAUUUGGGGAUUACACAUUCCCAAAAAAGAAAUCAAAAAAAAAAAAAAACAAGAGAGGGGAAACAAAUUUAAUGAAAAUAUUUGCCAUAGAAGCUCCAAAUCGUGAUUCCGGACGACACAAUCAAUGAAGCUUAAGCUAUGAUUAAUAAAGAAUAUUAUUUAGCUACUAUUCAGGGUCAUGUUUUAGCCAAAGGAUAAGAGCAUGAUGCUUGUAUUCGAGUAUAUGGGCAAUAAAUUAGACAAUACUUAAAAUAUAAUUCCUAUGAUGCCGAGAAAGCAGCUUUUGAUAUUACUAUUUUACAGCAUCUAGAUAAAAUAACACCACAAGACACUAACAUUAUAUCACAUUAUGCAUACGAGGGUAACAUUCUCAAACUUAAUAAAGUGAAGGAGGAGUUGCGGAUGUACUAGGGGUGACGAAUCCAUUGGAAUCAUCUGGAGUACCCAUUCACAAAAACAAAUAGGGAGAUUAGUGAAGCACUCAAGUAAAGUAACCUUGGGUAAACAAAGUAAUUAAUCAUUUUAAGACUCGAUGAUAUACUAGACUGUAAAUCCUAAUAGUCCACCGAAAAGUUAAAGACUAAAUGAAAGAUGAUAAAAUAAGAGAAAAGCCUUUACAUACAGCUAUGUUCAAAAAUUUAAUUAAAUACAUAUAAAACAUAACCAAGAUUUUAAACAAAGAACUUGAGAAACAAUAAGCAAAUCCCCUGCUUGCCAUGCCCCCAAGACUAAAAAGCUAGUGUUUAACAGGUUUCAUUUUUAUAACUUCCCUAUAUCUACAUAAAAAUGAUGAGAAAAAUUAAAUCAAGAGUUUCAUCCAUGUUCUUCAAAAAGGUAAAGGAAUAGCAUGAACAUCGAGAGAACACCGGAACAUAAUUUCAAAUAACGAAUAUAGGGAGGGAUGGACACCGAAUGUUGAACUUGAAAAUAGGUCAAGGACACACUGUUUUCGGACCAAUUACGAGUAAAAAACUGAGAAAAUCUCAACCCCAUUCAAACUUGAACCCAAAAUUAGAUUAAGAUUAGUUUUAUGAAAGAAAAUCAUAUAAAUGGUGGAGGGAAACAUUAAUUUAAGCACUUAGAGGGAAGGACGGGAGUUUGCUAUGACGUGUUCCUCUCUUAUCCCAUUACAUGAUCACGUCUUUGUCUUGUACCUCCUUUAGAAAUCCAAAGCUAAACAAUGAUAGAAAAAAAGCCAUAACUGGAAAGUACAGGAAAGGAAAAAAUUAUUAAAUGUUUGGAGAUGGGGAGAAAGCAGAAGAUGGUUGUUGACACCUAAUUUUGGAUCUCUUUUUCAUAUAAUUAAUUUUUCUAUGCUUCUUAGUCCUGGAUACUUUAUCAAAAUGACGUUUCCUAUUCUUCAUAUUAAUUUUAGUAAAUUUGACAUAAACAAAAUAAUUUUUCUUUUGCUCUUUUAAUCUUAUAUAUACAUAUAUAUAUAUAUAUAUAUAUAUAUGUACAUAUAUAUAUGCAUAUAUAUAUAUAUAUACAUAUAUAUAUGCAUAUAUAUAUGUGUGUAUAUAUAUAUACAUAUCGUACAAACGUUAUAUGUAUAUCGCAAUAAAUAUUUAAAUAUUAGUUUGCUAACUUUUACUUUAAAUUCUAAACGAAUUUUGUCGUAUUGUUAUAUUAUUUCCUAAAUAUAGUUAUGUUUGUUUAAAUUUAUAUGUGUACAUAUAUAACCAGUACAUUAUGAAAAUUAAUUAGGACGAGAGAAGCAUCGUUAAAUUAAUUAAGUGAAAGUGACUUGAUUAAAUUAAAUUUUUCACAAACAUAUUCCUUAUUCACAAUAAUAUUUGGGCCAUUUUCUCUAUUUUUUCAGUCAAAGUAGCAACCCAACGAAAAAUAACUCUUAGUCCAAUUUAAAAAAUCCAAGCACCAGCCCGAAACCCCAAAUUGACCCGACCCACCUUACAAUUCUCCCCUUUAAUCGAUUAACUCUUUGUUUGGAUAGUGGUUUGUCAUGGUUUCAUAGUACGGUGCUGUAUGAUAUGGUAUAGUACGGUACAGUAUAGUACAAUAUGGAUAGACUGUAUCAUUCACUGCUUUUGAUGACAGUUUUAUUAUUUAAUUUGACAGUAUGGUACUGUAUUGUAACUGCUAAAGUUUACUAAAAUGCCCUUAAUCAUUAUAAAUGUUAAAUUUAUCAAUAAUUGUUAAUAAAAUAAUUUUCUUCCUACUAUUUUAUCAUAAUUAUGCCAUGCAGAUAUAUUAAGUUGUUAAAUUUAUGUAAAUUCUAACAAAGUCAAUAAAAUAGUAGAUCAAAUAAAUAUAAUCGGAUUUAUUUUUUAUAGUAACAAAUUUCAUUUCUUUUUGGUGUUUCGAGACGAGACACCGACGACAAGUACAAAGUUUGAAUGCAUAUUUUGUGUAUGCUAUGGAUGUGUUUGGUAAUGAAAUCCAAAAAAAAAAAAAUUCAAGAAAUUAAAUUGUUUCUUACUUAUUUUCUUGUGUUCGUAACACAAAGAAAAAAAAUUCUAAAAGCAUUUGUAUAUAUUUAACACAAAAUAAUAAAAACGAAAAUGAUAAAGCGUAGCGGGGUUAAAAAAUAAUUCUUCUAAAAAAGUAUUUAGGAGUGGGAGUAGUGGAGUAGGGGGUGGGAUAGGGGUGGGGGUGGGGGUAAAAGAAAGUUUUAAUUUUUUUUAAAAAAAUUAAUUAAAAAAUUAAUUCUUUNNNNNNNNNNNNNNNNNNNNNNNNNNNNNNNNNNNNNNNNNNNNNNNNNNNNNNNNNNNNNNNNNNNNNNNNNNNNNNNNNNNNNNNNNNNNNNNNNNNNNNNNNNNNNNNNNNNNNNNNNNNNNNNNNNNNNNNNNNNNNNNNNNNNNNNNNNNNNNNNNNNNNNNNNNNNNNNNNNNNNNNNNNNNNNNNNNNNNNNNNNNNNNNNNNNNNNNNNNNNNNNNNNNNNNNNNNNNNNNNNNNNNNNNNNNNNNNNNNNNNNNNNNNNNNNNNNNNNNNNNNNNNNNNNNNNNNNNNNNNNNNNNNNNNNNNNNNNNNNNNNNNNNNNNNNNNNNNNNNNNNNNNNNNNNNNNNNNNNNNNNNNNNNNNNNNNNNNNNNNNNNNNNNNNNNNNNNNNNNNNNNNNNNNNNNNNNNNNNNNNNNNNNNNNNNNNNNNNNNNNNNNNNNNNNNNNNNNNNNNNNNNNNNNNNNNNNNNNNNNNNNNNNNNNNNCAAACAUUUUAUUCCAAUUGGGCCUUUUUUGCCUAUGUGGCACUGCGCGUGCAGUGUCAUCGUGGGAGGCGCGUGAGGAGCAUAUUUUUUAAUACUAAUUUACGAAUAAAAAGAUGUCAAGUGGCAUUGAGGGCCCUAAAAAUUUUUUAAUAACAAUUUUUUAUCUUUUUAAACACUAAAGGCCCCAAAAAACUUUUUAAUAAAACAAAAAGCGUUAGAGGGCCCCCAAUUUUUUUUUAAUAAAACAAAAUUUAAAAAAAAAAAGCCUCCCCCAAAACCCCCCACCCAUCUGAUACCCCUAGCCUCAUUUUUUUUUCUCUCCAUUUCAUCUUCUUCACCAUUCUUCUUUUUCAUUCUAUUUUUUUUUGCUAAACUUAAUUCUCAUACCAUUUUUUCUACUUUUUCUCCUUUCUUGUUCUUACUUUUGAAUUUGAUUUAAAAUUUUUUUGUUGUUAUUCUUAUUCUUUUCCGCCAUUAGAGCGCUGGAAAAAAUGAAAGUUCACCGAAAAAAAUGAAAGUUUGCUACAUUUAAAUUGUUGGAUUUUCAACAUAUUAUUCAUCGUUUCAUAUCCCCACCCCACUUCGCGUCUUCAUCGUUUCAUAGUACCCCACUCCGCCUCAUUGCUGUUAUUUUGUUGAUAUGAAUAUGGUGAAAACUAAUUAUCAAGCUAAGAAGAAAAUUAAGAUUUUUUCUUUUAAUGUGAAUAUGUUUUUGUUGUGCUGUGCAUUAGUGUAAAAUUUGAGAAAUUAUAAAAUUAUUUCACGAAGAAGAAGAGGAACGUUCGGAGUUUCUAAAAGAUAUUAUAAUUUUUUUUAAUAAUUAGUUUUUAAUUUUUAUUUUAUAAAUAAUUUUAUAAUUAUUUUUUAAUAAUUUGGAUCCUCAAUGCUAUUUUUUAUUUUCAUUUUUAAAAAUAUUUAUAAUUUUUUAAUAAUUAAUUUUUUUAAAAAAUAAUUUUUUAAAAAUUUAUAAUUUUUUUUAAAUAAUAAGUUUUUUAUUUUUAUUUUAAAAAUAAUUUUAGAAUUAUUUUUUAAUAAUCCCCUCAAUGCUAUUUUUAUAUACUUUUUUUAAAAAAUUAUAUAAUUAAUUUUUAAUAAUUAUUGAAUCCACAAUGGCACGUGUCAGCUUCCAAUUAGCUCGUUUUGCUACGUCAUCGCGUAUGUGCAACACACUUUGCGCUUUUUGCUCAUAGAAAAAAAAAGGCCUAAUUGAAACAAAAUAUGGGAGUUUAAAGGUCUAAUAGGAACAAAUCUUAAUUUGAAUAUUUAAGUAAAUUUUGAUAACAAAUUUAAAUUAUUAACGAUAUCUUUGACCUACUCUUAAUAACUAUACCAAAUCAUACCAUGCCAAACCACCAUCCAAACAGAUGGUAAAACAACAACAACCGUGGUACAAGGCAACAGUGUCACAACCCAACAACGCCGACACAGUAAAAAAAACACCAAUAAUAAUCUUUGGACCGACGGACAAGCAUAAAUCCGUUGGGUCAUCUCCUUUUACCUUUCUGUUUUACCUCCAUCAACAUCACCUGCGCCCUGUCACUUUGUUUGCAAGCCCAAGGCUCUUCAAAUUCAGGGAAAAAAUGGGAAGAUUUGAGUAUCCAUCAGCUUCAAGGUGCUUUCGCCUUUGAUUCGAUGGCUACGAAGCUUAAACCGACGGAUCUAAGCCUCUCCUCCAAACCGUCACUUUUUCAAAAUUCAAAUUUUGAAUUUUUCUUAUAAGCUUCUCCAAGGAGUUGUUACCCAUCCGGUUCCUCAAUAAAAUAUGGUGGAAGUAGUAGCAAAUUGGGGGGAAUUUUCUUGAGCCUACCAUACUUUUUCACUCAGUUUUGUCUAUUUACAGCUUUUACACUUCCCUUACUCUCAUCGCUUUAUAUCAUUUGUAUUCGAAGUUCGAGUUCGAAUCGCCGAUAAGAACGUUCCAGUUCGCUGCCCCACACAAGGUAAUUCUAUCCCGUCUAGUUAAAUUGUAUUUAGUUUUGCGAUUCUCUUACAGUUUGGGUUUGGUCGAUAGAUUGUGGAUAGGAAUAUGAAGUAAAUGAUGUGUGGAUGCUCGAGUUUGUUCACGUUAGGCAGUGUGUUUGUAAAAUGUUCAUAAUUUGUAAUCUAGCUUGAAUAAAACUUAUGAACUUUGAAUUUUCAAAAUGAAUUGGGUGUUUUGUCUCAUUCUCUCCUAACAUGAACUAGAAAUAAUUUCUACUGCAUUGUUCGAUUUCUCAUAUAUUUGGUUGUAUGCUUAUAGACUCUUCACAAUCUUGAGCCAUCCCGGAACAAACUCCGUAAAGCCGUGAGUUCUUUCGAUUCAUCCUGUGGACUAUUUGAGGUCGUUUGUUGUCAGUUUCAUCGUUAUCUUUUAAUGUGGUAAUGGUGUACUAUGUAUGUGUAUAAUUGUGAACUAUAUCUCAUCCAUAUAUAUUUUUAGAUAGAUAAAUAUCCACCCUCUGAUUCAACCAUGUAAAAAUGAAUGUAGAACAUGGACUUUUUUUGGUCUGUGAUGGACAUCUCAUUGGAUUAGUAUAUUGCUUUGAGUUUAUCUUCAUGUUGGCCGAUUUAAUGUUGCAAUAGUGAUGAGAUGCAUUCCUGUUUGGUUUGCGUGUCCAUAAGACCCCGACAACCUUAAUUUUGUCCAAAAAAUGUUUGAAUAACUUAGAACUUUACAUAUUCUUGGUUGUUGAAAUGAAAUCCUCGUAACUUUUGCUCGAAAGCUGAAUAAGGCAUCAUUUUAGGAUAGUCAUUUACUUAACAGUGACCUUUAACUUGCAACUUAGCAUGAAAAACAGGUUCUACAAGCCUUAAAAUUCUGAAAAGUAUUUUCCUGUAUAUGGAGUUCUCUGUUUUGGUUAACUCGGGUAUUAGAGAUGAUUAGAGAGGCUUGAUUAAUUUGGUCCCGAAAUGUAUAUAUUUAUUCCCAAAACCCCAUUCUUGCUUGCAUUAACCUUUUCGAAAUGGUGAAUGUUGUCGUUUGAAGAUUUGCGGGGCAUGGUUCUUUGGGUAACUAAGUUUGACUUAUGCAAAAAUGGAUAUGUUUCAUCUUUGGAAACUUUGGACAUAUAUAUGCGUAGGCUAUGUAUUAGAAUCUCGCAAGUUCAUAGAUAUAGCUAUCAUUGUUAAGAAAUACUCAUGCUAAAAUGUGAACGUCAUAUCUGCUAUAGAAAUCAUGUUGUUAGGAAUUCUUUUGGCUGAGUAUUGACUAAUUAAUUCAGAUCGUUUGGGUAGGUUUGCUAGAGCAAAUGUUGAUCGUGAUUUAAUGAUUAUCCGGUUUUGAUUUUGGCAAUGAUUCCCCUGCUUUAGAAAUACUUUAGAAGUCAUGUUUAAGUUUUUUUUUGUUAUUUGUAUUUGCUAUGUUUUUUUUGGUAAAAUGCUUCCCUAGCGAGAAUUAUCGUGAGACUAAUAUGUGGACUUGUUUUUGCAUAGAAACUGAUUUGGCCUUCCACUUCUUUAACUUUAUAUGCCGAGAAUCAAUAAUUAUGGUUGUUACUGGAGUAGUUCCUAUUUUUUUUAGGAAUACUUCAUCAAGUGAGACUAAUUACAUAAUCUAGUUCGUUCCAUCUAAAUUCUUUCACAUGUUUUGACAUUAUAAGUCAAAAUUUAAGAAUGUUCUCUUACUAGUCUAAAUAGUACUUGAAAUUUUCGAUAUAUCAUUUGCCUGUCGACGUUCAAUCAGAGAAUGCACCCCGAUUAUGUGUAUUUUUACUCUACAACAACAUUAGUAUUAUUUGUCUUGCUAAUCUUUAUUCCUAUUUUCCUCUUUUGCAUGUACACUUCGGGAGCAUAAUGGAGUUUUUAUAAGGGACUUCCAUUGCUGCAAAGAGUCUUGUUUUGAGACUCGACACUCUUGCUAGAUCGAGAAUACAUUGCUAUUCCCUAUUAAUUCUGCUCGCUCCUUCAAAGUCCAUCCGAACAAAAAGGAAAGAGGAACAAAGAAAAGUGGCAAGCCUUCUGCCACAACUCUUCUUACUCUAAUUGCUUGCAAUUUUUCUUUCAAACCUGUCUUUUAUGAAUAUUUUGUUAUUUUAGUAUGUAUUCGGGUACAAGAAUCUUUAUACAUGCAACACAAAUUUCAACUCUAGUUCGAGUCUAAGACAAGAACACUUAUGAAGUUACCUAACACCUUCAACACUAGAUUAUGAAUAAUCUAUCUAACAAGUGUGUUUAUUUUCAGAAAGGAGAUGAAAUAGAAUUUUAAGGUCAAGUCCCCCAACUUUACGGAGUGGUCUUAAGGAAUAAUUUUUCUCACUGUACCCGAGGUUACAGAAUUUUCCUCCCAGGAUAAAAUGGUCUUCAAUCCGAACAAUAAUGGUACCUCAUAUUAUUGGAUUCAAUGAACUCACUCAACGAUUUGAUUGAUCACACAAUGUUUUUGAAGACAAGAAGAGAGUUUGUAUUUUAGAAAAUUCGUACCAAAACCUAUGGAUAAAUACAGGUUUAUAUAGCUAUCGGGUGUCCCUUUCGAAAGAUGGCAAUGGUUCAUUCGAAAAGAUGUAUCCUUUGGAAGAGUCAUGUCUGUUCAUUCUAAACAUUGUGUUUUUUUUUAACAAACACAGUUAUCUAAACAAUCACUUCUUUUUCAAAGCACUGUGUCUUUCAUAAAAUGUUGUGUCUCUCCAUUUUGCAUUCACACCAAUUGAACCCAAUAAUCCCCCACAUGAAUGGGGAAUGACUAUUUUUUGUAAAACUUUACGGACGAAUAUGUGAUCAUCAAGCAAAGAAUGAUUGCAUCUGGAUAAGUGGGUUUCCCUUUGAACUUUCCGUAGUAAAUAUGCAUUAGAUGCACUCGGUCGAUUGGUAGAUUUGAUAUCUUUGAACCGUCGAGCUUUAAUGUAUACCUAGACAACACAAGUCACACAACCAUCCAUUUACCAUUUAUGGUUCUCACGGUUUUGUUCUUUUCAGCUAUGAACACGUUCCGGUUUCAUGAGAGCUUAGAGAAUAGGCCUUUACUAACAUUCUCCUUGAAGCGGCUUCCACUUCGCCCUCACAUAGGUGAUUUCUAAACGUUCAAUCCUAUAGAUUAAACUAUUUGGUCAAAUCUGCCAAAUUUAGAUAAUCAUUAAAAGACUUCACACCAUAAGUCUUAUCCUCAUUUACUAAACAUUGUCUACAUUAUGAGAAUAGGUUGGGUAUUUUACAAUGUUGAACUUGUUAGACACAACUUUGUUUGAUCUCCUUGAACUUAGCUCUUGGGAUCUCCGGUCUGCUGGGUAGAGUUACCGUCAUGCUAACUUGUCUUACGCCUUAAACCCAUUCCCUUGGAUGUUCUUUCAACUUCUUCUCUAGAUAGGCCUUUUGUAAGUGGAUCCGACACAUUAUCCUUUGACUUCACAUAGUCUACAGUGAUAAUUCCACUAGAGAGAAGUUCUCUAACGGUAUUAUGUCUCCGUUUUAUAUGACGAAAUUUACCGUUGUACAUCAUGCUCCCUGCCCUACCUAUUGCCGCUUGGCUAUCACAGUGUAUACAUACUGGUGCCAUUGGUUUGGGCCAGUAAGGAGUAUCUUCUAAGAAAUUUUAGAGCCAUUCUGCUUCUUCAUCGGCUAUAUCCAAUGCGAUAAAUUCAGAUUUCAUUUAGAGCGAGCAAUACAAGUCUGUUUGGAUGAUUUCCAAAAGACCGCUCCUCUAGAUAUAGUAAAUACAUAUCCACUCAUAGAUUUUACUUUGUUUGAUCCAGUGAUCUAAUUUGCAUUAUUAUAUCCUUCAAGUACCACAGGAUAUUUAUUAUAAUGCAAAGUGUAGUCUUGAGUGUAUUUAAGAUACCCCAAAACUCUUUUCAUUGCCAUCUAAUGAGUUUUAUUAGGAUUACUCGUGUACCGACUCAACUUACUAAUAACUCAUGUUAUGUCUGGUCAUGUAGAGUUCAUUAUAGACAUUAAACAUCCCAAUACUCUUGUGUACUCCAAUUGUGAGUUACUUUCACCUUCAUUCUUUCGAAGUUCAAAGCUCGCAUCUAAUGGAGUCUUGGCAAUACCAAAUUUCAUAUACUUGAAUUUGUUAAGUACUUUUUCGAUGUAAUGAGACUGUGACAAUGCCAACCCUUAUGGAGUUCUAUGAAUUCUUAUCUCUAAGAUCAUAUCCGCAACUCCAAGGUCUUUCAUAUCGAACUUGCUCUCGAGCAUUUGUUUUGUUGCAUUUAUAUCAGAAAUGUCUCUACUGAUGAUCAACAUAUCAUCCACAUAUAAACACACAAUGACUUGGUAAUUUGGAGUGUCUUUAAUAUAAACACAUUUAUUCACAUUUAUUAAUUUUGAAUCUGUUUUCCGACAUGGUUUAGUCAAACUUUACAUGCCAUUGCUUAGGUGCUUGUUUUAGUCCAUAAAGUGACUUAACAAGUUUACACACCUUAUUUUCUUUUCCCGAAACCACAAAACCCUUAGGCUGUUCCAUGUAAAUUUCUUCCUCCAAGUCUCCAUUUAGAAAUGCGGUUUUCACAUCUAUUUGAUAGAUUUCAAGACCAUAUACUGUCGCCAAGGCAAUUAACAUUCGAAUCGACGUUAUCCUUGUUACUGGCGAGUAUGUAUCAAAGUAAUCAAGGCCUUCUUUUUGUUUGAAGCAAUUUACAAUGUCUUGCUUGUAUUUGUCAAGAGUAUCAUCCGCUUUUAUUUUCCUUUUGAAGAUCCAUUUAGAUCCUAAAGGCUUAUUUCCUGGAGAAAGAUCAACCAAUUCCCAUGUAUUGUUGCUUAAGAUUGAAUCAACCUCACUAUCGACUGCCUCUUUCCAAAAGGAUGAGUCCGAAGACGUCAUCACUUCUUUAAAUGUUUGAGGCUUAUUUUCUAAGAGAAAUGUUACAAAAUCUGAUCCAAACGAAGUUGACGUUCUUUGAUGUGUACUACGUUUUGGAUUCUCAUCAUUAUGUACAUUCUCACUUGGUUCAUCUCGAGGUCAUUUGGACCCUCCAAUAGACUGUUUAUGUCUAGUUUUAUACGGAUAAAUGUUUUCAAAGAAUUCAGCGUUAUUUAAUUUAAUUACCGUAUUUUCAUUAAUAUUUGGAUGUUUGAAUUUAUGAACCAAAAAUCGAUAUGCUUUACUACUUUUAGCGUAUCCUAUGAACACACAGUCCACUGUCUUAGGUCCUAUCUUAACCCUUUUAGGUAUAGGAACUUGGACCUUUACUAGACACCCCUACACUUUGAAAUAUUUCAAGUUAGGUUUGCUUCCUUUCCAUUUUUCAUAAGGAAUUGAUUGUGUCUUACUAUGGAGAACUCUAUUGAGUAUUUGGUUGGCUGUAAGGAUAGCCUCCCCCCACAAGCUUUGCGAUAAACCUGAACUUAUAAGUAAGACAUUCAUCAUUUCCUUCAAAGUUCGAUUUUUUCUUUCCACAAUUUCAUUAGAUUGAGGUGAAUACGGGGCCGUAGUUUGAUGGAUAAUUCCAUUCUCUACACAUAUUUCGGCGAAGGGAGAUUCAUAUUCUCCGCCCCUAUCACUUCUUAUAGUUUUGAUCUUUUUCUUUAAUUGAUUUUCAACUUCAGUUUUAUAUUGUCUAAACGCAUUUAUUGUUUCAUCCUUAUAGUAUGUAGACAUAGCAAUAUCUAGUGCAAUCGUCAAUGAAAUUUCUGAAAUACUUUUUCCCUCCACGUGAUGGUGUUGACUUCAUAUGACAAAUGUCAGUGUGGAUUAAGUCUAAGGGAUUGAAAUUCCUUUCAACGGACUUAUAUGGAUGCUUAGCAUACUUUGAUUCCACACAAGUUUGACACUUUGAUUUAUUGCACUCAAAGUUUGGCAAAACUUCUAAGUUAAUCAGUUUUCGUAAUGUUUUGUAAUUAACAUGGCCUAGUUGUUCAUGCCACAAAUUGGGAGAUUCAAGCAAGUAAAAAGAAUUUGAACUUUUAUAGAUUUCAACAUUCAUUACAUUCAUUUUAAAUAGGCCCUCAUUGAGGUAACAUUUUCCUACAUACACUUCUCCUUUACUAAGUACAAUUUUUUCAGAAACAAAUAUACAUUUGAAUCCGUUCUUGUCUAGAAGUGAAAUAGAAAUCAAGUUCUUUCGUAGCUUAGGAACAUACAAUACAUUGGUAAGUGUCAACACUUCGCCGGAAGUCAUCUUCAAGCACACUUUUCUAGUUCCUUCUACUUUAGCAGUAGCGAAGUUAGCCAUGUAGAUUGUUUCUUCUACUUGAGCCAGAGCGAACGUCGAAAACAAAUCCUUGUUAGCACAUACAUAGCGGGUGGCACCAGAAUCCAUCCACCAUUCGCGAGGAUUUCCCACCAAGUUGCAUUCGGAAAGCAUAUCACAUAGAUCAUCGCAUUCUUUGUUGGACUCAAUCAAAUUUGCUUGGUCCUUUUUUCUUGCCUUUCUUAGAGGCACGACAAUCCAUAGAUUUGUGGCCAAUCUUACCACAGUUGAAGCACUUUUCCUUGAAUUUCUUCUUGGGUUGAUUUCUUCCAUGUUCCAUUUUAUUUCUUUUCUUAGAAUUGUUUUGAUCAUCUUCUACAAUAUGUGCUCCAUUAAUUGUAGAAUUCCCUUUUGACCUUCUCUCGGCAGCCUUAUUAUCCUCUUUAAUACGUAGUCGAACAAUAAGAUUUUUGACAGUCAUCUCCUUGCCUUUGUGCUUCAAGUAGUUUUUGAAGUCUUUCCACAUAGGUGGUAUCUUCUCAAUUAUCGCUGCUACUUGAAAUGCAUCAUUCAUAAUCAAACCUACAAAACAGUUUAUGUGAUUACUAAGAACAUUUUCAAUUUGUUCAAUCAAGGUAUAUUUCAAAGAUAUACCUUCCGCUAGGAGAUCAUGGAUGAUUACUUGCAAUUCUUGCACUUGAGAGACAACUGACUUUCUAUCUAUUAUUUUAAAGUCCAGGAACCUUGCAAUGAAGAAUUUCUUAAUUCCCGCAUCCUCUGUCUUGUAUUUUCGUUCCAGUGCCACCCACAAUUCCUUUGAUGUCUUAGUUCCACUGUAAACAUUAUAGAGGUCGUCUUGAGACCACUCAAGAUAUAAUUUCUGUAAAGAAAGUCUGAGUAUUUUCAAGCCUCUACUAUUAUGAAACGCUCUUUGUCCGAGGUUCCCUCGGGCACCUCAGGAGCAUCCUCACUAGUGAACAUUUGAAGACAUAGAGUGGUGAGGUAAAAGAACAUCUUUUGCUGCCAUCUUUUGAAGUCAAUGCUCGUAAACUUUUCGGGCUUCACCGUAGGUGCCAUAGGUUGCGAAACAUUUGCUCGACUUGUCGUGGUAAUGGUAUUUGCCGCCAUAGUCGUAACAUCAUCCAUUUGACAAUCAUUCAUCAUUUUUCCUGUUACCACAAGAUAGUACCUUUAGUAUACCAAAAUACUUAUUAAAAAGUUGCAAUAACUUAAAACACCUCUUGUUUCUAGUUAACGAUGAAGUUUUUAUGACUUCCAAUCGCCAAUCGAGUGAUGUUUAACUUGUGAUGAAGAUUUUAUGUCUUCAAAUCACUAGUUAAGUUCAAACGGAGUAGAAAGCUUAAAGCUUUAAUCUCCAAAAACAAGCAAAACAUAUUCUGAAAAGAUUAUUCCUUAAGAUUGUUAUUUUCGGUAUGUAUUCGGGCACAAGAAUUUGUAUACAUGCAACACAAACUUCAACUCUAGUUCGAGUCUAAGACAAGAACACUUAUGAAGUUACCUAACACCUUCAACACUAGAUUAUGAAUAAUAUAUCUAACAAGUGUGUUUAUUUUCAGAAAAGAGAUGAAAUGGAAUUUUAAGGCCAAGUCCCCCAACUUCACAAAAUGUUCUUAAGGAAUAAUUCCCCUCAAUGUACCCGAAGUUACGGAAUCUUCCUCCCAGAAUAAAAUGGUCUUCAAUCCAAACAAUAGCGGUACCUCAAAUUGUUGGAUUCAACGAACUCACUCAACGAUUUGAUUGAUCACACAGAAUGUUUUUUAAGACAAGAAGAGAGUUCGUAUUUCAAAAAAUUCAUACCAAAACCUGUGGAUAAAUGCAGAUUUAUAUAGCCAUCAAGUGCCCCUUUCGAAAGGUGGAAAUGGUUCAUUCGAAAAGUUGUAUCCUUUGGAAGAGUCAUGUCUAUUCAUUCAAAACAUUGUGUCUUUUUCUGAAUAGACACAACUAUCUGAACAGUCACUCUUUUUCCAAAACAAUAUGUCUUUUCAUAAAAGGUUGUGUCCCUCCAUUUUCCAUUCACACCAAUUGAACCCAACAUAUUUUUCCUUGGCCUUUGGGGUUUUGUUUUAGUAUUUGAUAUUGGGGAUUCAUUUGGCUAUUGGGUUUAGAUGUAUAUAGUUGAUACGAUAUCUCUUGAAUACUUAGGACAAUAUUAGUUUAAGAUUCGAUGUAGUCAAGAUUUUACUUCACAAUUUCCUUUGAAAUUAAGUUCCCAAAACAAUUUUGAACCUGUGCAUAGAAUUUUCAAGUCUAAAAAAUGAUUUACAAUGAAAUUUUGGCCCCUUUUGGUGCAAUACUCUUAGGCCCCUCACAUUUAAAGUAUUUUUCUAUUUUUAAACAAACUAAUUUUUCUAAAUAUCAACUUACUCCUUAUUUUUCUACAAUAGCCUACUUUACUUUUCACUAUAUUACAUGCAUACUUUUUUUUAGGCUAGCAUAUUUUACUUUGCUUAUAAGUGUCCGCGUUUUCACAGUUUAUAAGAUUUUGAUUAAUUAACCUAAGUUUGGCCGGUUAAUCGUAGUUAUCGAAUCCUUUAGGGUGCCUAAUCCCUUCCCUUUAAGAUAAUUAGAACCUUUACCUAGAAUCAUGUAGGAUGAGUAGACCUUAAAAUGAAGUCUUUAAUUUCUUUUAAUUACUUAGUUUAUAAUAGGUGUCCUAAUUCACCGUAGAACUAAUUAGGUGGCGAUUUCCUUGAUUUAAUUAGAAGUUUUCCAAUAUGUCGUACCUCGGUGUGACCCGUGUUAAAAUGGGGUACAGCAAUGGUAACACUAUGAUGUGUUCAUAGUUCAUCCUGUAACAUUCAUAUUAACAUUCUUCUAUUUUUAUACUCUAUUAAAAGGACGCGUUGAUAGCCCAAGGUCGAACAAACAUAAGCAUGAAAAAUUAAAAUUUCCAGUAAACAAGCUCUAUUGAAACAUCUAGACAGAAGUAAGGGGAGUGGGAGUUCUUGAGAGCAUUUAGAAGUGAAGGGAGGGCAUGGAGUAACAAAUAUUACAUAAUAUUCAUCGCUUGUGCCCAAAAUACUCAUGAGAGAUUCCCUUCUACUCCACAAUCGUCGACGAGCAUAAUGCUUAAACCAACAAUAAUAGCGAGAUAAGCAUGAAACUGAAACAGUUAAAGAGGACGGAAGGAAGGAAAAAUUUAUGCAAGUUUUCGAUAAAAGGAAGAAGUAUAAGAUAACGUACUCUAUGCAAGCUUCGUCUCUAAAUUUAAUGUUUACAUCGACACUCUCUUAUUUCCACUUGUACUAGGCUAGUCGACUACCAAACAGUGAAUCGAGGUAAAGGAUCUUUAAUUCGAUAAUUGAUCAACUCAAGUAAUCGAACAGAAAUGGCAUAGCCUUUAAUUAACACUGUAAUAAGCACACAAACAUAUACCUUUGGGCAGAAUUGAAAAUGUAUUUAAAGACGCGACAAAAAAUAGGACUACGUGAAGCAUCUAUGGAUAAAGGAAAAGGCAAGAAUAAUGCAAAUUGUAAGCCAUUCAUUUUCCCAUUCAUAAUGAUCGUAAAAGAACCUUUUGCCUCAUACUAAUUAACGACUAAUCACACUAGCUUGAAAUGAUGUUUUAACCAUUAUAAGUUGUUACGAAAUGACCAUGUCAAACUGAAAAUUUAAACCAAACACAACUACUCGGCCAUACAUACAAUCCAACAACACUACCAACAAUUAAGUAAUACAAUUUGAUUAAAUAAAUUACGCAAGUAAAGAGGUAUUAUUGACCUUUUGUGGAGCAGUGAAUUAGGGCUCUUCUGUUAGAGAUUCGAACUAGCUCAAACUUUGAACUUAGAGAACAAAAAAGGGAGGAAAUAAAGGAUAUGAACUUUCUGAUCUUUAAUGCUAAUUUGAUAAUCCUUUUUUCUUGGUGCUUUCAUUGUGAAGAAGACUCCUCUUUAUAGGCAAAAGGGAUGCAACGACUUCUUUUAUAAUCUAAAAUUCAGAAUUCAAAACAAUGAAAAGGGGAGGAAAAAAAGAGCAAAAAGUCUUCAUUUUCAGAGCUUGAAUUGAUAGAGAAGACUAUUGUCGUUGGUGGCUCUGUAAAAGCCUAGAAAUUCGACAAAUUUAUCGUGAUUGAAGUGAUGGGAGCAGCUUUGGUUGAAUUUCAACUCGAAGAAGAAGAGGAGAUUUAGGGGUGUUUGCUGGUUAGGAUAAGGCUUUUUGGGUCAGGUUAGGGGUUUUCUAGUUGGGCUGGGCAGCUUGGUUAUUGUUGGGCCGAAAAGGGGUAUUUAAGAAUUGGGUAGUGGAUUAGGCUGG
rnacentral:lncRNA from 1 species